rnacentral:rRNA from 1 species
UACGUAGGGUGCAAGCGUUGUCCGGAAUUAUUGGGCGUAAAGAGCUCGUAGGCGGUCUGUCGCGUCUGCUGUGAAAACUCGGGGCUUAACCCCGGGCCUGCAGUGGGUACGGGCAGACUAGAGUGCGGUAGGGGAGACUGGAGUUCCUGGUGUAGCGGUGAAAUGCGCAGAUAUCAGGAGGAACACCGGUGGCGAAGGCGGGUCUCUGGGCCGUAACUGACGCUGAGGAGCGAAAGCGUGGGGAGCAAACAGG